UUUUUGUCAAUGAACCAUAAAUAUUGAAAUCCUAUGCGACGAAUCGAUCCAUUGAGUCAAUUAGUGAAACAGCAAUCCGAGUUUCUAUUUCCAGUUCGAUUUUAAUAAAAGCAGAGUGCAAGAGAGAAUCUGCAGAAAGGCAGUUUAAGUGGUUAACACUGUAUUGUGAAUUGUGAUCAGCAGCAACUCUGCAAUCACCGUCAUCUUCGGUCGCUUCCGAUGAUCUCGCUGCAGGCAGGCAGCUAUCUGCCGAUUCGAGUCACCUACCCCCUUCCCUUCAAAGACAGCUGAGGGGGAGGAUGCUUCCAACAGUGAAAUCAAUUCUGCUGAACCUGAAUGGUGGCCAGGUUCCUUUUAUUAUUGAAGUCACUCAGAGGAUCAUUAUACUCUGUUCAUGGAGAAAGAAAGUGCUUUCCAAGUGUCCAGCUCAAAUUCAAUGUGUUUCCUUAUCGCUAUGUAGGUAUCAACAAAACUUGCUGGUGUUCUUCUAUCUUGGCAUUUUGCUCAAAUGAUUACUUACAGCCAUCAGCUUGAGAAACCAAUGAAGUUUGGUUUUCAUUUAUGCUCUGAAUCAGAGUUGUGGAAAAGUCUUCGACUUUGUUGAAUCUAAGUUUGUCUGAAUUAUAUAUCUAGGAAAGCAUGGAACUCGGGUGUUGGUCCUUCACCUCUAAAUUUUAUUCCAGUGAAGAUGUUCAAGCCAAGGUUGCUCAGUGCCCUCGAUACGUGAUAAACAUGUAAAUAGCCUGUGUGGCACCCUAAAACAUUACCUACUGGUCUGUUCAUCAUUACUUCAUUCCACUUCCAGACUGCAAACUCCUCUCUCUCCUAACUGGACAUAAACCUUAAUUUUUUGUGCCGUCUUCCCUUUAGUACGUAUCAUUGAGAUGAAUUUGGCUUUAGGCCUUUUGCUUUGAACAAAAAUAAAUCUUCUGUCUCUUAUUUUGU